UGGUUUGAGAGGUUGAAGCUGCCAGCAUGAUCUGGUAAUUAGCCACACUCUUUUUCCUCAUCUCAUGUCUAAUUUUAGCCGCUAGGCUUUCGAUAAAAAAAAUGGUCAAAAUUCAUCUACUCUUUUAGUUCUAAUUCAAGGUUUUCGGUAUCAAUCAAUGUUGCAAAAAGGGAUGAAAUUUUUAGAACAGGUUUUAAGUUUACCUGUCUUCUUGUUUUGUUUUCUUUUUCUGAAGUUCUCACUAUUUUAUAAAAGAUACUUAUUAUAAACUGGAAUUAAUACUUAAAAGGAAACCUACCAAAAGGGAAACUUUUGGUUAUUAUAAGAUGUGGUUCCAUCAGGUCAUCUUGCAGCUUCAAUCACUCAAAAA
rnacentral:pre_miRNA from 1 species